rnacentral:lncRNA from 1 species
GUAUUGUUUCCUGCAUACACAAGAAACAAACCCUAAAAGCACUUUUACAGAAAAAAAUAAAAAUACACCACAAAUAACAAAAUAAAGCAAAAACAAUUACAACCAAGUCAAAUUCAGUCAAUCCACACUACUAGAAAAAGUUAAACCUCGACUCCCCGGCAACGGCACCAAAAACUUGUUAACGAAUUGGCAAGCGUACCAAAUCGUUCAAGUAAUAAUAAAACGGUAAGUCCAAGUAUCGUUUCCCAAGAGACUCGAAAGGCCUUAUCGUUCACGUGAAUUAAAAGAGUAAGACUUGAAAAUAAAAAUUAAUUAAUUGNCCAAGUAUCGUUUCCCAAGAGACUCGAAAGGCCUUAUCGUUCACGUGAAUUAAAAGAGUAAGACUUGAAAAUAAAAAUUAAUUAAUUGGAUAUGACAACAAAAUAUAAACAUACAAAAGAGAAGAAAACAAUGGAUGAAUGAAGUUGUUGGGGGUUUACAAUUUCAUCUUAUCCGCUCUCUCUUAUUUAGUCCUCUUGAUUAAUUAGCUUGAUUAUCUAAUUGUCAUGCAACUUUCUUGGCCUACCCUUAACCUGAUCCCUCGGCGAGAAAAGCCUAUUACUAAUUACUGGCUUGCUAUCCCUAGCCUCCCCUAGCAAUUAAUAAUGCAUUAUAGAACAGAAGUGACAAACAAUUGACUGCCCUACCCCCUAUCCCUAGGUAGUAUUGCUUAAUCAAGGAAUUAC